GGACUACCCAGUGGACUACGUGAAGUCCUUUCCCGGUUCUGCAGAACAGAUUUCCUGGAAGGACUCAUGCUUUGGCUGCUUCUAUGGUUGUUUGGCCUCCGCUUAAGGGUUGGACUUACACUUCUUUGAGGCAUAUGGUAAAAGAAACAUUGUCAAUAAAAUUACCAAGUAGAUUUCAGUAAAGACAUGAAAGUCAAAAUGACGAAAACAACCCAAAAAAAUACGCAAGUGGAGUUAGAUAAAAACAGAAACCUUGAUCUGUCUGAGCCAUCUAGAUAGUUACGUUGAUUAGCAGCCUUAUUGCCAUGACCAUUGUUCGGAACAUCCACACCUUUCGGUGACAAUUCACCUUCUUCAUGGGAUGUGUCGUCCUCAAUCACCUUCAACUCAUUUUUCC
rnacentral:lncRNA from 1 species